rnacentral:misc_RNA from 1 species
GGACUACUAGGGUAUCUAAUCCUGUUCGCUCCCCAUGCUUUCGCUCCUCAGCGUCAGUUAAUGCCCAGAGACCUGCCUUCGCCAUCGGUGUUCCUCCUGAUAUCUGCGCAUUUCACCGCUACACCAGGAAUUCCAGUCUCCCCUACAUCACUCUAGUCUGCCCGUACCCACCGCAGAUCCGGAGUUGAGCCCCGGACUUUCACGGCAGACGCGACAAACCGCCUACGAGCUCUUUACGCCCAAUAAUUCCGGAUAACGCUUGCGCCCUACGUAUUACCGCGGCUGCUGACAC